UACAGAGGUCUCAAGCGUUGUUCGGAUUCAUUGGGCGUAAAGGGUGCGUAGGCGGUCUGUUGCGUCCGCUGUGAAAUCUCGGGGCUUAACCCCGAGCCUGCAGUGGAUACGGGCAGACUAGAGGUAGGUAGGGGAGAAUGGAAUUCCCGGUGUAGCGGUGAAAUGCGCAGAUAUCGGGAGGAACACCGGUGGCGAAGGCGGUUCUCUGGGCCUUACCUGACGCUGAGGAGCGAAAGCGUGGGGAGCGAACAGG
rnacentral:rRNA from 1 species